CUGUCACCCAGAGUCUCCCACAGGGAAACGGGGCCGAGGACUCCCCAGCGCUGAAGCCAGCUUCCUUCUGUCCACUUCUGCUCCCCACGCGGUCGCAGGACUGCUGGGUCCCCCACUUCUGUCCGGGCGCCGUGGUCUCCCCGGGGGGGCAGGUCGCCGCUGGAUCUCGUUAGUUUGGAAGCAGCGCUGCCCUAGCAUAGCCAUCAGCGCGCGGCGUCUGUCUCCAAGUCUGGGGCGAGGGCCACCCCGCUGCGACCCCCUCUGCUGCUGUGUCUCCCUCCCUCCCAGGCCCGGCGGGCCGCUUCCACUUCUGUGCGAAAGAGAAGCAAACGCAGCGCCCGGCCCUCGCCCCGGGUGUAAGCGCCGGGUCUCGCCGAGGGUCGGGGCGGUGCGAGCGGCUCCCCGCGUCCUCCCCGGCGCAGCCUCCCCAGACCCCGAUCUCCCGGGUCCGGAGCGCGAAUGGCAGGCAUUCAGAAUCAUGGAGGACACUGACAGCGCUCUGUCCAGGACUGCCCUCUGCACUGCAGAAGUCCCAGCACUCUUACCGUGCCCUCCCGAUGUUAGUCUAUAAUGUCCCUGUUAAAGUAACAGCCACAUCAUGAAUCCCACCCCUUCCCCCUUCCAACAUAAACUCUUUAAUUUGGUUUGUGCUGUGCUGAGACUCACUUGUUAAUCUAUGAGGAACAAUCCCAAAUCAGAAGUCAUAGGUAACUCAUCUGCACCUCACUAAGAUGUACUUCAGGUCUUUAGAGGCCUGGCUUCACAGAAAUUUUAAUAAAUUCCCAAUCCCGGAGGGUAGACCCUAAAAUAUCCUUAACAAGCUCUCUAUUUUUUCUUCACCUUUGAGAGAUACUCUCUUGUGGGAAAAAGGGGUCCAGAGGUCUGGUUGAUGGCCAUGGUGGAGGAGUGGGUCUGAGCAAACUCAGACUCGUCAUGUCCUCAGCAAACCGAGUCGCCUGC
rnacentral:lncRNA from 1 species